AAAACAUUGUCUCAUGAAUAAUAUAUGAGAUAAUACCUGCCCAGUGACAUGACAUGUUCAACGGCCGCGGUAUCCUAACCGUGCAAAGGUAGCAUAAUCACUUGCCUAUUAAUUGUAGGCUAGAAUGAAAGGAUUAACGAAAUAAAGACUGUCUCAAUUAGCAAACUAAAAAUUAUUCUCUACCUGAAGAAAAGUAGAUAGCCUCGAAGGACAAGAAGACCCUAUAGAGCUUAAUUUUACUUAUAGGCCUGUACUAUAAAAAUAUUCGGUUGGGGCGACCCAGGGCAAAACAAUCACCCGCACCAUAAAAGAUAUAUUAAUCAAGAAAUUGACCCUUUAAAGAUCAUAAGAACAAGCUACCUUAGGGAUAACAGGCUAAUCCCACUCAAGAGUCCUUAUCAACAGUGGGGUUUGGCACCUCGAUGUUGGCUUAGGGUAUCUAUACAGCGCAAAAGUUAUAUAAAGAUGGUUUGUUCAACCAAUAACACCCCUACGUGAUCUGA
rnacentral:rRNA from 1 species